AACGAACGCUGGCGGCAUGCCUAACACAUGCAAGUCGAACGAGACCUUCGGGUCUAGUGGCGCACGGGUGCGUAACGCGUGGGAAUCUGCCCCUUGGUUCGGAAUAACUUCGGGAAACUGAAGCUAAUACCGGAUAAUGACGUAAGUCCAAAGAUUUAUCGCCAAGGGAUGAGCCCGCGUAGGAUUAGCUAGUUGGUGGGGUAAAGGCUCACCAAGGCGACGAUCCUUAGCUGGUCUGAGAGGAUGAUCAGCCACACUGGGACUGAGACACGGCCCAGACUCCUACGGGAGGCAGCAGUGGGGAAUAUUGGACAAUGGGCGAAAGCCUGAUCCAGCAAUGCCGCGUGAGUGAUGAAGGCCUUAGGGUUGUAAAGCUCUUUUACCCGUAGAUGAUAAUGACAGUAUCGGGAGAAUAAGCUCCGGCUAACUCCGUGCCAGCAGCCGCGGUAAU
rnacentral:rRNA from 1 species